rnacentral:miRNA from 1 species
AGGUGGAGAAUUGCUUGAACCUGGGAGGUGGAGGUUGCAGUGAGCUGAGAUCACGCCACUGCACUCCAGCCUGGGC